rnacentral:lncRNA from 1 species
UGAAGAUGUGUGGUUAGGGUUGGGAGUAGACAUUGGGAUGCUCUCUAAACCCGUUGUGAAGCUGUUAAAUUGCAAGAAACCAUCUUCCUCUCCACCCUCCAUUCCCACCCUAUUCCCACAGGGUGAACAGGAAGCGCCCACUCAGAGCCCUUAUUCCAAAGGUGGAAAAACCUCUUCCCUUUGCUGCUUUUGGGGACUCAUCAGUCUCUGGAACAAUUAAACCUCUUUCAAUGCAGUUAUAUUCCCUCAUGUAAUAAGUACUGCAUUAUUUUUAGACUGUUUUACCCAAUUAAUUUUAUUAUCAGUUAAUUAUGUAUUACCACCUUAAGAAAAUGAAUAUUUGCCCAGUUGCUUAAGCUAAAUCAUUAAAUAUGUAUGAAUUCCUUUCUUUAAAUGUACACCUGUUAUCUUUUACAGAUGCAGAAGACGUGUUUGGAGCCAUCUGUGCCUCUGAAACAGACCCCCAUACAAAAGUGCUGUCUUGGCCCUACGAGACAGCUCAUGUGGGGCUGGGAGGCACCUGGGAAGUGAGGCCCACAAACAUGUCAGAGAUCUCGGCCUCAGCACCAGAGUGACAUCAUUUGAGAAAGACUGUUCUAGUCCAACCCUGCAGUUUUAUAGAUGGAGAAACUGAAGCCCAGAGACGGAAAGUGAUACUGAAAGUGAUUUCAACAGCUGGACUCAGAGUUGGUCUGAGACUCCUGGUCUGACACCUUUGAAUUCGGUCAGGGGCAGCCCUGGCUGUGCGUGCUCACACAUGGCAAUGCACGGGAGAUCUGCAGCCCGGACAGGAGCUGGAGCACGUGGGAAGGACAUGAGGCAAAUGCUCAAGGACUCGAGAACAGCAGGCCCCAGUGGUGGGAGGGGCACCCUUUGAGCACUGUUACAUGGGAAGGCCAUGGCACGGCGCCAGGCUCAUGGCAGGGACUUUAUUCUCUUCCAAACUCCAACCAUGAAUCCACCCAGGUGUAAACCUUCUACAGUAAGCCAAUUGUGCCUACUGAAGCUCUGUAGACAAGUGCUGCUCAAAAUGUCACCUGCAGACCUGUGCUGCUCUGCAAACGCUUGGUUAGAUGUCCAUGAAGGGGAAUAAGAAGCUCGCACUGGAAUGUACGUUACUGUCACUCAGCGGGCUAUUUAGUCCUGCUGACUUUUUCCACAGCAAGACUUUCUCAAUAAAGGAAGCAGGUCACUGAUUUACUCUCUGGGGCAAAAGCUGCUUAACUCAUGGUAACAAAGUUUGUGGCCCAGCUACUUUCAGGCUGCUUCUGGGGACACUAACCUGAGGUGUCCAAGCAUCUCUGAGUGGUACCCAGGGAAAAUUAUGAAGGCAUUAGGCAAAAGCUAGUAGUUUAAAAAAUCAUAAACGCUAUAAUAAUAAAAAAUGAGAGGUUACCUCAAUAUAAAAAGAGAUAAGUGGUUAAAUAAGUUAUAUAUGUCCUCUUAAUGUAGUUGACAGCACUUAUAAAAUAAGAGGUUGAGGACUUUAUAACGGGACGAAGAAAGGCUUAGGAUAUGACAGGAACUUACAACAGAAGUAUGAUAUAAAAUGGUGUGAGCAGCCCCCACGAACACGUAGAGAAGAUAUAUGUGCUCACACUCACCUACUCGGAAGGAAAUGCACAAAAAUACAAAUAGGGGAUUUGUUAGGGUGACGUAAUGAUUAAGUUUUCUUUUCUUUUCUUUUUUUUUAA